CCCCGGACGAGGUCCGAACGAGCGAGCGAGUGCGGACGCUACGGCCCUCGGGAGAACCGAGCCGUUUAGCAGGCCUGAUGGAAGAGAGACGAUGGCCGGCUGCGGGGCUGAGGUCUGGAGGUCAGCACUGGGCGGAACUCGCCUCCGAGCACCACGACUCCAGGCGCCCGACCUCCUGGCGGAACGGGUAGCGGUUCCGGAUUCGGAUCCGUGGGGUGCACCCUGGUCGCCUGCGCCUCCUCUCCUUCUGCCUCAGUUUCCCGGGGCGCCGUUACGCCGUACGCAGCGCGGAGUCAGCCCCAGUACGAGCGGAAGCUCACCUGCCGGUCCCCGUGCGCUGCCACUGCCACGCUCCCUGCAAGUUUGCAGGGAUUGCCCCAUCCCUGU
rnacentral:lncRNA from 1 species